rnacentral:rRNA from 1 species
GCCCCAGUAACGGCGAGUGAAGCGGCAACAGCUCAAAUUUGAAAUCUGGCCUUCGGGUCCGAGUUGUAAUUUGGAGAGGAUGCUUUUGGCGCGGCGCCGUCCGAGUUCCUUGGAACAGGACGCCAUAGAGGGUGAGAGCCCCGUACGGGCGGCCGCCUAGCCUUUGUAAAGCUCCUUCGACGAGUCGAGUAGUUUGGGAAUGCUGCUCAAAAUGGGAGGUAAAUUUCUUCUAAAGCUAAAUACCGGCCAGAGACCGAUAGCGCACAAGUAGAGUGAUCGAAAGAUGAAAAGCACUUUGAAAAGAGGGUUAAAAAGUACGUGAAAUUGUUGAAAGGGAAGCGCCUGUGACCAGACUUGCGACCCGUGGAUCAUCCGGUGUUCUUCACCGGUGCACUCCGCGGGCUGCAGGCCAGCAUCGGUUUUCCUAGGGGGAUAAAGGUCGCAGGAACGUAGCUCUUUCGGGAGUGUUAUAGCCUGUGGCGUCAUGCCUCUGGGGAGACCGAGGACCGCGCUUCGGCAAGGAUGCUGGCGUAAUGGUCACCGGCGACCCGUCUUGAAACACGGACCAAGGAGUCAAGCAUUGGGGCGAGUGUCUGGGUGCCAAACCCGCACGCGAAAUGAAAGUAAACGCAGGUGAGAGCUUCGGCGCAUCACCGACCGAUCCUGAUGUCUUCGGAUGGAUUUGAGUAAGAGCCUUACCGCUUGGACCCGAAAGAUGGUGAACUAUGCCUGUAUAGGGUGAAGCCAGAGGAAACUCUGGUGGAGGCUCGCAGCGGUUCUGACGUGCAAAUCGAUCGUCAAAUAUGGGCAUGGGGGCGAAAGACUAAUCGA